AUUGAACGCUGGCGGCAGGCUUAACACAUGCAAGUCGAGCGGUAACAGAGAGAAGCUUGCUUCUCUGCUGACGAGCGGCGGACGGGUGAGUAAUGCCUAGGAAUCUGCCUAGUAGUGGGGGAUAACUUGCCGAAAGGUAAGCUAAUACCGCAUACGUCCUACGGGAGAAAGGAGGGGACCUUCGGGCCUUUCGCUAUUAGAUGAGCCUAGGUCGGAUUAGUUAGUUGGUGAGGUAAUGGCUCACCAAGACCGCGAUCCGUAACUGGUCUGACAGGAUGAUCAGUCACACUGGAACUGAGACACGGUCCAGACUCCUACGGGAGGCAGCAGUGGGGAAUAUUGGACAAUGGGGGGAACCCUGAUCCAGCCAUGCCGCGUGUGUGAAGAAGGUCUUAGGAUUGUAUAGCACUUUAAGUUGGGAGGAAGAGCAGUUAACUAAUUUUUGACUGUUUUGACGUUACCGACAGAAUAAGCACCGGCUAACUUCGUGUCAGCCGCCGCGGUAA
rnacentral:rRNA from 1 species